CCACCUUUGACAUGUACGGAACCCUUUAGAGAUAGAGGGGUGCUCGAAAGAGAGCCGUAACACAGGUGCUGCAUGGCUGUCGUCAGCUUGUGUCGUGAGAUGUUGGGUUAAGUCCCGCAACGAGCGCAACCCUUGUCAUUAGUUGCUACAUUCAGUUGGGCACUCUAAUGAGACUGCCGGUGACAAGCCGGAGGAAGGUGGGGAUGACGUCAAGUCCUCAUGGCCCUUAUAGGUGGGGCUACACACGUCAUACAAUGGCUGGUACAAAGGGUUGCCAACCCGCGAGGGGGAGCUAAUCCCAUAAAGCCAGUCGUAGUCCGGAUCGUAGUCUGCAACUCGACUACGUGAAGUCGGAAUCGCUAGUAAUCGUGGAUCAGAAUGUCACGGUGAAUACGUUCC
rnacentral:rRNA from 1 species